GCACUGCUGAUGAGUUCCAAAAUCGGGACGAAACAGCUGUCCAGUGC
rnacentral:hammerhead_ribozyme from 1 species